rnacentral:lncRNA from 1 species
UCAAAUAAAAAGAAAGAAAAGGUGAAAGAAAUGGGUAUGGUUGCAAACAUAAAAAUGAGAGUGAACUAGCAAAUGAAGUGAAAAACCAAUGGGCCUAAAAUCUAUUACCAACAAAAGUCCAAUAUGUCAAAUUAAAUAAAAAUAGAAUAAAUAAAUAUUAUAAAAAACAAAAUAACACUAAACGAAACAACAAAGAAGAAGUAAUACAACAUCAAGUAGUGGCAGCGCAUGCUUUUUGAAAAACAUUUCAAAUUUAAAAAGCCAUGAAUGGCUACUCGACACGUGGCUUUAAACAGAAUAAAAAAACAACAAAGAAAAAGGUCUUCC